rnacentral:rRNA from 1 species
CGGAGAGGGAGCAUGAGAAACGGCUACCACAUCUAAGGAAGGCAGCAGGCGCGUAAAUUACCCAAUCCUGACUCAGGGAGGUAGUGACAAGAAAUAGCAAACCGGAAGCCUCACGGUUUCACGGUAUUGCAAUGAGAACAAUUUAAAACUCUUAGCGAGGAACAAGUGGAGGACAAGUCUGGUGCCAGCACCCGCGGUAAUUCCAGCUCCACUAGCGUAUAUUAAAGUUGUUGCAGUUAAAAAGCUCGUAGUUGAACUUCUGUAUGGGGCUAGUUUUGACUUCUGUCUGGCUAGUUCCAUGCAUCCGCUUGUAAGACCUGGUGGGCAUUGAUUUGUCGCCAGGAGGAACAGGCCUUUUACUUUGAAAAAAUUAGAGUGUUUAAAGCAGGCAAUCGCCCGCAUAUAUUAGCAUGGAAUAAUAGAAUAGGACACUUUUCCAUUUCGUUGGUUAUUGGAAUCGUGUAAUGAUUAAUAGGGACAGUUGUGGGCAUUUGUAUUUAAUUGUCAGAGGUGAAAUUCUUGGAUUUAUUAAAGACAAACUAACGCGAAAGCAUUUGCCAAGGAUGUUUUCAUUAAUCAAGAACGAAAGUUAGGGGAUCAAAGACGAUCAGAUACCGUCCUAGUCUUAACUAUAAACUAUUCCGACUCAAUGUUUGACUGGCACAUAUAACCAGUUGAGCGUUGUAUGAGAAAUCAAAGUCUUUAGGUUCUGGGGGGAGUAUGGUUGCAAAGCUGAAACUUAAAGGAAUUGACGGAAGAGCACAACCAGGAGUGGAUUCUGCGGCUUAAUUUGACUCAACACGGGGAAACUUACCAGGUUAAAACAAUAGUGGGAUUGACAGCUUGAGAGCGCUUUCUUGAUUGGUUGGGUGGUGGUGCAUGGCCGUUCUUAGUUGGUGGAGUGAUUUGUCUGCUUAAUUGCGUUAACGAACGAGACCUUAACCUGCUUACUAGACUGGCGAUAUAUAAUCGUCAGCUCUUCUUAGAGGGACUUUGGUUGUUUUAACUCCAAGGAAGUUUGAGGCAAUAACAGGUCUGUGAUGCCCUUAGAUAUCCUGGGCCGCACGCGUCAUACAAUGAUUAGUUCAGAAAGUUUCAUCCUGACCCGGAAGGGGCUGGGUAAUCUUGUUAGUACUAAUCGUAUUAGGGAUAGAUCUUUGCAAUUAUGGAUCUUGAACGAGGAAUUCCUAGUAAGUGCGUUUCAUCAGAACGUACUGAUUACGUCCCUGCUCUUUGUACACACCGCCCGUCGCUUCUACCGAGUGAGUGGUCCGGUGAGAUACUUGAAUUCAGUCAGUUUACUGAUUGGAGAAGAGUAUCAAACCUAUCCACUUCGAGGAAGAAGAAGUCGUAACAGGG